rnacentral:snoRNA from 1 species
GCUCAAUGAUGAUAUAAAGGCUAAUGUGACUUGACCAGCUGGGUUGCACCCUCAGCCCAUUCCAGUAAUACGGGUCUGUAAUCUUGGUGGACAAUGCUGAGCUGUGCAUGUUCGCUGUAAGGGCAGGCCGACAGAAAAUCCCCUUCCCUGUGUCCCUGGAAAAUACAUCUUUGGGGUGCGUCAGCUCUGAGGGAGUGUUUCUACGAGGUGAUGACAGGCUGUGGGGAUAGGAUAGGAUAGUGCGUCCAAGGUCUGGGUUUCAGGGGGCAGCCCAUGUUGCAGCUGGUGAGAUGUGAGCACACAUCUUUGGUAAUCUGAUGACU